AGAAGGAAGACUUUAACUUCCAUCUCCGGCCCCCAAAGCCAGAAUUUUAACAUUAAACUAUUCUUUG
rnacentral:tRNA from 1 species